rnacentral:rRNA from 1 species
UACGAAGGGGGCUAGCGUUGCUCGGAAUCACUGGGCGUAAAGGGUGCGUAGGCGGGUCUUUAAGUCAGGGGUGAAAUCCUGGAGCUCAACUCCAGAACUGCCUUUGAUACUGAAGAUCUUGAGUUCGGGAGAGGUGAGUGGAACUGCGAGUGUAGAGGUGAAAUUCGUAGAUAUUCGCAAGAACACCAGUGGCGAAGGCGGCUCACUGGCCCGAUACUGACGCUGAGGCACGAAAGCGUGGGGGAAGCAAACAGGGAUUAAGAA